GUGGAAGACUCUUGCGCGAAAAAACGCACGUCAAUCAGCGAAGACGAUUGUCGUCCAGUAGUAAAAACACGGAAGUGGUCAGACCAAGCUUCUUUAUUUUUUAUUUGGAAGAUUGCUGAACUCUGACAGCUUUUGAAGGGGAGAAAGCGAAUAGAGUAGAGAUAACCGUGACAUCGGCGCGGAUUCAUGGAACACGUUAUAACGGCCACUCCCAUUCUUCACGAAAAUAAACCGACGAAAUUGGAACGUACAGAAUGAAAAGUUGGCCGAUGUUUAGCUCACGCAAGGAGAGUUAGGCUCCACUCCCGAUCUGAAUAUUAAAACUCCAUGGACAAAAGGGGACGCUAAUUAAUUCAGCGACACAACAGUCAGGUAAUUGGAUGGGUACGAUGUAUAUGGGACAUUUUAAUUAGAGUGAACUUCUGCUUUAGGACAACGUACAAGAGAGCAUAUCGCGGGUAAUCAAGAUGUAUGGUAAUAAUCAUUCAGCGAAAUAAAGAUGUAAGAUAAAGGAGAUAGAGGACGAAAUCGUGUAACGUGCAUAUAGACAAAUUAAUUUACCAAGUAUUUAACGCGACGAGGAAACAGAACAGAUAAAGGACGAAGGCUCUCAAGCUAUUCCAGGCAAGAAACGUGACACCAGACGACGUCUAUGCAGGCAUUAACUGACGUGAGUCAGUUCUAAUCUCACGUGACAGUGUUCCAUAAAUAAAAGGGAAAA